rnacentral:rRNA from 1 species
UCCCGUUGAUCCUGCGGGAGACUGCUGCUAUUGGGAUUCGACUAAGCCAUGCAAGUCAAGGGUUCUCUUCGGAGAAACCGGCAAACUGCUCAGUAACACGUCGAUAAUCUGCCCUAUGGUCAGGGAUAGCCUUGGGAAACUGAGGGUAAACCCUGAUAUGAAAGGUAUUCUGGAAUGAUUCCUUUUUAAAAAGUAAUGCCAUAGGAUGAGUCGGCGGCUGAUUAGGUUGUUGGCGGGGUAAUGGCCCACCAAGCCUAUGAUCAGUACGGGCCUUGAAAGAGGUAGCCCGGAGAAGGGUACUGAGAUACUGACCCUGGCCCUACGGGGUGCAGCAGGCGCGAAACCUUUACUCUGCACGAAAGUGUGAUAAGGGAAUCCUGAGUGCUUACACAAUGUGUAGGCUUUUGCCAAGAGUAAAAACCUUGGCGAAUAAGUGGUGGGCAAGACUGGUGCCAGCCGCCGCGGUAACACCAGCGCCACAAGUGGGAGUCGCGAUUAUUGGGCCUAAAGCGUCCGUAGCCGGUUUGUUAAAUCUUUUGUGAAAUCGCAGGGCUUAACUCUGCGGCAUGCAGGAGACACUAGCAAACUUGGGACCGGGAGGAGUCAGGAGUAUUCUGAGGGGAGCGGUAAAAUGCUAUAAUCCUCAGAGGACUACCUGUGGCGAAGGCGCCUGACCAGAACGGAUCCGACGGUGAGGGACGAAAGCUAGGGGAGCGAUCCGGAUUAGAUACCCGAGUAGUCCUAGCUGUAAACGCUGCGAGCAAGGUGUUGCGUAUUCUUCAUGAAUGCGCAGUGUCGAAGAGAAGUCGUUAAGCUCGCCGCCUGGGAAGUACGGUCGCAAGACUGAAACUUAAAGGAAUUGGCGGGGGAGCACUACAAGGGGUGCGGCGUGCGGUUUAAUUGAAUUCAACGCCGGAAAUCUCACCAGAGGCGACGGCAGGAUGAUGGUCAAGUUGAAGACUUUACCGGACGAGCCGAGAGGUGGUGCAUGGCCGCCGUCAGCUCGUGUCGUAAGAUGUCCUCUUAAGUGAGGCAACGAGCAAGACCUGUGUUUACAAUUGCUAACGUCACAUUUAUGUGGAGCGAGCACAAUGUAGAGACUGCCUUGGAAACAAGGAGGAAGGUGCAGGCUACGGUAGGUCUGUAUGCCCCGAAUCCUCUGGGCAACACGCGCGCAACAAUGGUAGGGACAAUGGGAUGCAACUCCGAAAGGAGAAGCUAAACCUCUAAACCCUAUCCCAGUUCAGAUUGAGGGCUGUAACUCGCCCUCAUGACGUCGGAAUCCCUAGUAAUCGGAUGUCAACAUCAUCCGGUGAAUAUGUCCCUGCUCCUUGCACACACCGCCCGUCAAACCAACCGAGCAGGGUUUGAGUGAGGUGUAAUUUUUAAAUUACAUCGAACUUAAG